CCUACGGGAGGCAGCAGUGAGGAAUAUUGCACAAUGGGGGAAACCCUGAUGCAGCGACGCCGCGUGAGUGAAGAAGUAUUUCGGUACGUAAAGCUCUAUCAGCAGGGAAGAAAAUGACGGUACCUGACUAAGAAGCCCCGGCUAACUACGUGCCAGCAGCCGCGGUAAUACGUAGGGGGCAAGCGUUAUCCGGAUUUACUGGGUGUAAAGGGAGCGUAGACGGCAGCGCAAGUCUGGAGUGAAAUCCCAUGGCUUAACCAUGGAACUGCUUUGGAAACUGUGCAGCUAGAGUGCAGGAGAGGUAAGCGGAAUUCCUAGUGUAGCGGUGAAAUGCGUAGAUAUUAGGAGGAACACCAGUGGCGAAGGCGGCUUACUGGACUGUAACUGACGUUGAGGCUCGAAAGCGUGGGGAGCAAACAGGAUUAGAUACCCCAGUAGUC
rnacentral:rRNA from 1 species